UACGUAGGUGGCGAGCGUUGUCCGGAAUUACUGGGUGUAAAGCGCGUGUAGGCGGGAGGCCAAGUCUGCUGUGAAAUCGCCCGGCUCAACUGGGCGGGGUCGGUGGAAACUGGUCACCUGGAGGACGGUAGAGGCAGGUGGAAUUCCGGGUGUAGCGGUGGAAUGCGUAGAGAUCCGGAAGAACACCGGUGGCGAAGGCGGCCUGCUGGGCAGUAGCUGACGCUGAGGCGCGACAGCGUGGGGAGCAAACAGG
rnacentral:rRNA from 1 species